UUUACAGCGUUGCCUUCAAGUGCUGUAAGAAAUACGGACGUCACCUUAGAAAUGUGUGAAAGCAACAACUCGCCAUAAACGUUGUCGUGUGAGUGGGGUGGAAAAUGAGACGGCAAAUGAUCGUUUUUUGUUUUUCUCCAAACUUCUACAAUAUGACUCGGAUUAAAGCAGAAAGACGUGGCCAAGAGGCUCCACUGAGAACUCCCCCACAAACACAGCAACCGGGGAACAGGGACCAUAAAUAUCAUUGCUCAUCAUUCAUUCAUCAUUAAUGGUUAUCAUUUUCCCCUUAACAUCGACAAUAAAGAAGGAGAUCCCACGAGACACUGGAAAGUGAGCUGUCUUCAGUGUUUGUCGUGCAGAAUCAUGGCUGCUGUCCCAAUCCUACACAAGACAUUUGCGUAAUUAAUGGCUGUGCAGCGAAUAAACUGGCCCCCUCCGCCGUGGCCUGGCAUGAUGGUGCAAGCAGAUGUUCGGAAAGUCGCCAUAGAAAUUGGAGCGGGAAGCAGUCUGGAUGCCCUGUUGGGGCACCAUGCUGCCUCUCACAGGUCAGUCUUGGUCCUACAACAGACAUCUGGUUUGGGGGAAUCGACUCGUGAUUGUUGCUGUAGAUAUCGUUUUCUAUGGGAUGGUGCAAUUACAAACAUGUUACCACAUUUUUUCUUAAUAAUACAUUAUUUCAUAUGACCUCAAAGCUCUGUUCUGAAGUCGUGUUGGAAAGCAGUGUGUUGAAUAAGUGUGUUGCCCGAGAAACUUACGGAGACUGUUAAUAGCGACUCUUGUCUGCAUAUUCUCAUAGUGUAGGCCCAGGCUCAUCUCAUCUGUAUGUUCCGAGGCAGGGAUGACGGAUCACAUGUGCCAAAGUCCUGCAAUAUACGAUAUACAGUAUAAUAUAAAUAUCCAAACACGCUGAACUGAAAAAUGAAUGGGAUAGUGAUUGAAUGUUUGAAUACAAUCAUGAUUUGAAAGACUUCUUUGCUUUCCUGAUUGGCUUAGAUAAUGCUGUAGUUGGGGCUAUAGCGCCACCUGUUGCCUUGAUAUGCACUUUGCAGCCUGCAAAUGCAUUUUCAUGCUUUAUUGGGGAAAAGGUUAAAAAAGUUGAGAUUUUAAUUAGAUUUUUGUAAAAAAAAUAAAAUAAAAAAAAUAAUAAUCUAAUUUAGUCACCACUAGAAUCACGUGACAAAGGUUAAAAAAAAACUCUCUCAUGAGCCACAGUUGACUGUGUAUGUUUGCUUUUGUGUACUAAAUAAACUGU